AGCUUUAUUGUCUUUCCUUUUCCUAGGGACGGCCAUUUUCCUUGACAACUCCAUGCUGAGGCACAGUAACAAAGAUGUUCUGCUGCCCAUUAGAGGCACCCAGCGAAUGGCAGGGGUGGAGACACAGGUUUCAGACGUGCAUGCACACCUGAGAGGAGUGAGCUGACAGACCCUGAUAACGGAGGCAGCAAUUGUCAAUGAAGAGAUGGCACUAAUUGUUAUUUGGUUUUGUCAGCAACACUGGGAUAUUUGCUGAACCGCUCAGGAGAUUUUCUUUCCCCCCAGCUUAGAAGAAACCAAUUUGAGCACUGUUUGGAAGAAGACGACAGCAGAGAGAUGGCAGGAAAAGUAAGAGCGGUGGAGAGAGAGGAUACAGGCCUGGCAAACUUUCCUAGUCACUUAGAAGUGUGGUCUUCCAGUCAACACAAGGAGUUAAAGAAAGCUACAGCCACUGCAGGUCUUACUCUGUGAUCCAGGCUGGAAUGCAGUGGCAUGAGCUCAUCUUACUGCAACCUCCAUCUCCCUGACUCAAGUGAUACUCCCACCUCGGCC